CCCUUAGAUGUCCUGGGCCGCACGCGCGCUACACUGACACUAUCAACGAGUGCUCCUGGUUUGAAAGGAUCGGGUAAUCUUUUGAAAUGGUGUCGUGAUGGGGAUAGAUCAUUGCAAUUAUUGAUCUUGAACGAGGAAUUCCUAGUAAAUGUGAGUCAUCAGCUCACGUUGAUUACGUCCCUGCCCUUUGUACACACCGCCCGUCGCUCCUACCGAUUGAGUGAACCGAUGAGUAGUCCGGAUUGCGAUCGACCUCGGUUAAUCGCGAGAAGUUCCGCAAAUCACUUCACUUAGAGGAAGGAGAAGUCGUAACA
rnacentral:rRNA from 1 species